rnacentral:rRNA from 1 species
AACGAACGCUGGCGGCGUGCCUAACACAUGCAAGUCGAACGGAAAGGUCGGGCUUAGUGGCGCAGGGGUGGGUACCGAGUGGGAAGUAGCACUUGGGUAAGGAAUAACUCACUGUAGGGGGUGCUCAUACAAGUUAAGGUAAUAGGACCAAGGAGUUAUCGCCUGUGGAUGGGCGUGGGUUGGAUUCGGUGGUUGGGAGGGUACUUGCCUAUCAAGGCGACGAUCCCUAGCUGGUCUGAGAGGAUGAUCAGCCACACUGGGACUGAGACACGGCCCAGACUCCUGCGGGAGGAGGCAGUGGGAAAUAAUGGACAAUGGGCGAAAGCCUGAGCCAGCAAGGCCGCGUGAGUGAUGAAUUCGUUAGGUUUGUAGAGCUCGUUUAUCCGGGAGGAUAAUUACAGUACCGGGAGAAUGAGCCCCGGCUAACUUCGUU